GUCUCAAUAGCUCAGUAGUUAGAGCGCUGGCACGGUACGCCAAAGGCCCUGGGUUCGAUUCCUGGUUGAAACU
rfam:Crassostrea gigas strain 05x7-T-G4-1.051#20 contig9333, whole genome shotgun sequence.